rnacentral:rRNA from 1 species
GCAUGUGGCCAUGCCACCCUGAGCACGCCUGAUCUCGUCUGAGGCUAAGAGGGUUGGGCCUGCUGAGUAUGUGGAUGGGAGACCACCUGCGAACAGCUGGUGCUGUAAGCU